UACAGAGGCCCGUAGCGUUGUUCGGAUUUACUGGGCGUAAAGGGCGCGUAGGCGGCCCUGCGUGUCGGAUGUGAAAUCUCCGGGCUCAACCCGGAAAGUGCGUCCGAAACUGCAGGGCUCGAGUGCGGGAGAGGGAAGGGGAAUGCAGGGUGUAGCGGUGAAAUGCGUUGAUAUCCUGCAGAACACCGGAGGCGAAGGCGCCUUCCUGGAACGCUACUGACGCUGAGGCGCGAAAGCCGGGGGAGCAAAC
rnacentral:rRNA from 1 species